rnacentral:rRNA from 1 species
CCUACGGGCGGCAGCAGUGGGGAAUAUUGGACAAUGGGCGAAAGCCUGAUCCAGCCAUGCCGCGUGUGUGAAGAAGGCCUUCGGGUUGUAAAGCACUUUCAGUGGGGAAGAAAGCCUUGGGGCUAAUACCCUCGAGGAAGGACAUCACCCACAGAAGAAGCACCGGCUAACUCCGUGCCAGCAGCCGCGGUAAUACGGAGGGUGCGAGCGUUAAUCGGAAUUACUGGGCGUAAAGCGCGCGUAGGCGGUCUGAUAAGCCGGUUGUGAAAGCCCCGGGCUCAACCUGGGAACGGCAUCCGGAACUGUCAGGCUAGAGUGCAGGAGAGGAAGGUAGAAUUCCCGGUGUAGCGGUGAAAUGCGUAGAGAUCGGGAGGAAUACCAGUGGCGAAGGCGGUCUUCUGGACUGACACUGACGCUGAGGUGCGAAAGCGUGGGUAGCAAACAGGAUUAGAUACCCCGGUAGUC